GUGCCAGCCGCCGCGGUAAUACGGAGGGUGCAAGCGUUGUCCGGAAUUACUGGGCGUAAAGCGCGCGUAGGCGGUUUGUUAAGCCAGAUGUGAAAGCCCUGGGCUCAACCUAGGAACGGCAUCUGGAACUGGCAAGCUAGAGUACAGUAGAGGAAGGUAGAAUUCCACGUGUAGCGGUGAAAUGCGUAGAUAUGUGGAGGAAUACCAGUGGCGAAGGCGGCCUUCUGGACUGAUACUGACGCUGAGGUGCGAAAGCGUGGGGAGCAAACAGGAUUAGAAACCCGGGUAGUCC
rnacentral:rRNA from 1 species